GUGCCAGCAGCUGCGGUAAUACGGAGGGUGCAAGCGUUAAUCGGAAUUACUGGGCGUAAAGCGCACGCAGGCGGUCUGUCAAGUCGGAUGUGAAAUCCCCGGGCUCAACCCGGGAACUGCAUUCGAAACUGGCAGGCUUGAGUCUCGUAGGAGGGGGGUAGAAUUCCAGGUGUAGCGGUGAAAUGCGUAGAGAUCUGGAGGAAUACCGGUGGCGAAGGCGGCCCCCUGGACGAAGACUGACGCUCAGGUGCGAAAGCGUGGGAGC
rnacentral:rRNA from 1 species